rnacentral:rRNA from 1 species
GACGAACGCUGGCGGCGUGCUUAACACAUGCAAGUCGAACGGAAAGGCCCUGCUUUUGUGGGGUGCUCGAGUGGCGAACGGGUGAGUAACACGUGAGUAACCUGCCCUUGACUUUGGGAUAACUUCAGGAAACUGGGGCUAAUACCGGAUAGGAGCUCCUGCUGCAUGGUGGGGGUUGGGAAGUUUCGGCGGUUGGGGAUGGACUCGCGGCUUAUCAGCUUGUUGGUGGGGUAGUGGCUUACCAAGGCUUUGACGGGUAGCCGGCCUGAGAGGGUGACCGGCACCAGUGUGGAGGAGAAGCGGGCAAGUGUGGGAGGGGGGGCAGAGGGGGGUAAGAUCGCAGAGGGGGCGGGACCAUGGUGCGGCAGGGCGGGGGGGGUGAGGUGUGCUGCCGGGUGGUUUGCGGCGGUGGACUGGGGCGAGGCGUGAGUGGCGUUAAGGGGUAAAGAACGACCGGCCAACUACGGGCCAGGGGCCGGGGUAAUACGAGGAAGGGCACAGGGCUGAAU